GACAGAGGUGCCAAGCGUUAGGCGGAAUCACUGGGCUUAAAGCGUGUGUAGGUGGAAGCGUAAGUACCUUGUGAAAUCCCACGGCUUAACCGUGGAACUGCUUGGUAUACUGCGUUUCUUGAGCCAACUAGGGGCUAUCGGAACAAGUGGUGGAGCGGUGAAAUGCGUAGAUAUGCGGAGGAACACCGAUGGCGAAGGCAAUCCCCUGGGCCUGCACUGACGCUCAUGCACGAAAGCGUGGGGAGCAAACAGG
rnacentral:rRNA from 1 species